GGAACAAUGCAAGAAAGGGAGGGACAGAUGACAGAGAAGCAAACAGGAGCAUGGAAACUACAAAAGGCGGUUCACAGAGCAUAGACCGAAGCUAAAAGGUACCGUGACACAGAUGAGGAGACAGUAAAUCUGGGAAGAAUGCAGAGCCAAGAGCAACAAACUGUAGGUGCCUGUUGCCAUAAUUCUUUAGAUGAAAAAACAGCUGGCAGAAAUCUGAGGGGAUAAAAACGACUGCGUGUCCAGCACAGAAAUGGGCAAAUACUACAUUUAUGUUCUUCUUAGGACUGCGAACACGGCAAGAUUAAAGGGGGAAGUGCACGAGUGUCAGAGAUCAGAUACAUAGACAAUUGGUUACCACUCUCUCACUGGUUGAGAGACUAGCUGAUAUCUCCAAGUGAGCCGAAGAAGUCCAGCCCACCGUAAAAACAUACCUGAGCCAAUAAAAGGGAGACCAUCGGCAUCCCAGGAGUCUCUGGAGAAAUGCUGCAGCCUUCAGGGCCAGAAGAUGCCAUCUCCAGGUGUAGACAAGAGUAGAGAGCAAAGACCCGCCUUAGGGAGGAAGGCAGCUUCAGAUAUCCUCUUCAUAAUGAUUAUUAUUUGAUAAUUUGCUAUCACAUCAUUAAUUUGCAGCAACAACUGUCGGAUCUCAGGGCUGCGCACGCUGGGACGAGACACCUCUAAUUGUCCUGAGGUUGUCGGGGGUGUGGGGGAGGGUUGGUGGUUGUCAAAAUGCUUCCCUUCCCCACCCUGCUAUUUGUCAGGAGGGAGUUUCGGCCAGGAAGUCAUUACCGAAGUGUAAAUGCGCUCGGUUUUCCCUGUCUGACAGGGCAUUUGGACACGCUUGGCUCCAGCUUAUGAAGGGGAAACUGAGAAGUGUUCCACAUCCCCUUUCAAAGUCCUUUCCAAACAGUUACAUAACCCUUCAGCCAAUGCAUGGUGGUUAACAUUGAUGACUACGUGUUAUUAUGUUACAUACCCUCCAGCCUAAUGCAAUAACUAUGCAAUCAGCAGCAUGCUUCUUUGUGACUUAUCAUUAUUUGAUCCAGUGUAAUUAAAUUGCUCACGUCAGAAAUGCACCAGCAUGGCAUCUUUGCAUCACACUGGUAAGGCUGGUAUUAGGCCGAUGGACUGGGAUUGGAGAGAAACUAAACUAGCUUGUUUAGGUCAGAAAAUUAGCCUUUUGCGGGAAUAACCUUUGUCGUCUUUAUCCAGAAAGAUGCUGCACACUUGCUGUGGCUAGGACAUCGGCACGAAACGAAUCAGUUCAUUGAACAUAAAUGCAGAGGCUUCAAAAGGGCACGCUCAGUAGCACCUUCGUUAUAGAACGACAUCAAUAAUUAUAGAAAAUAUGAGUCAGUUCCCUCAACUCUGGACACGCUCCAGCUGAGUGAUACCCCAUUGUCGUCGUUUUCCUCAUGCAAUAUUUCAUAAAAUGCACAAAAUCAUUCGACGUCAGUCACUGUCAAAGUCUGACUGUACAUGCAUUCCUGCUAUUAUGUGUGAUUAUCAGCUGUCCUUCAGGGCAAGUAAUGCGUCUGCACAAAAUGGUUCUGCUGUCAAAUUAUGGGCUGUGCCAAAGUGAACAAUGUCUUACAUGAGGCUUACACUCCAGUUACUCAGUCGCAUGUAGUCACUGGCGCCUCAAAACUGUGUAUCUAUUGCACAAUAAAACAAGGAAAUAAGCCGGAGCGUGUUCAAACAAAUGUUCUGAUGCCUGCGUGUCCUCGCAAGUUUACCUUGAUGGGUCCAUGAGAAAGAGUGAGCAAAGCCCUGGCACUCGCUGACUAAGAUGAAGAAUAGCUCGGAGAAUCUGGAAUGCCUCAAAACGUUAUGCAACCAGCAUCAGGUUUCCCGGCUUAAAACAAACAAGCUAACAAAAAGCUGCACGACAUUUGAGACUAGCUGAGCGUGCAGUUGGUAGCAGGCAAACUGAGAAAGCUGUUAAAGUCCAGGUGCUCAUUCGCUAAGCAGAAGUAUCCACAAACUUAGGUGAUUCGAGGCAGGUUGAAGGGUAUUGCUGUUUGGUUCACUAUCUCUGUGGCAUAUGUUACGUAUGAACUCUUGACAUGUCUGGAUGCAAGGAUGGACUUUAAAGGCGACAUGCGUCUCUCAAACUAACGCCCUCUGAAGUCCAGAGGGCAACAGGCACAAGGUGACAAAGUCCAAAACUGCUGCUCUGUCUCCGUUUGAACCAGGAUCCUUGCAUUUCAUAAGCAGCUAAAAAGAUGAAAUGUAUCCCACCAAAUUAAAUCUCUUGUGUUAACUUACUUGUCAGGAUUUAGGUGACAGGCAGAUGAACAUGUUUUUGAGACAAAUGAGAUACAAACAGCUCUGGACUCAGGAAGGAGCUGCUCAAGAUUUCUCGUUUUUUUUAAUUGAGGGAAUGAUGCAGCGAGCAGAGUCUUCAGUGGCACGUGGGACAGACGCGGUUUCCUGUCACUCAACGUACAGCUCGCCCUAUCCACCGUGUAUCUGGCCAGACCAAACCCGACCAUGAGAAAACACUGCGGUGGAAUGGGACUCGUUUGUUAUGACUUCCCUACCUGCAUCUUCUUGUGGGUACGUACCUCUUUGGGGUGACUGCAGUCACCUGGCAAGCUACUGCUUGCUCACACAGACGAAUAUGAGGGAAAGAAAAAAAAAACAGAAAAAGGCCAAUCCACUUAAGAAAGUCACCUUCAGGUCAAAAUCACAAAACACUGAUUAAUCACACUGAGCAAAUUACAGGCACCUGUAAGCUUGGCUAGACACCAAUCUCCCCAUCCCUUUUGUUCUGACUCAAUUUGGAUUAUAUGCAGGAGAAUAUAGGUGUGUGAAUAUAUAAAACUGAUAUUAAAGGUUAGACUAACACAAAUGCAAAAACGACAACAACAACAACAACAAAUGUAACUGAAAUGUCCAUCAUUACUCUGACUGGUAUAAUUUCGACUGUCAAAUUUAAACGGAGAAUUAUAUUCCACACCCUUACCGCUCACAGACUGGCAGGUGAAAGACAAUACAGGCAGGUUUUUCGCAGCUCAUGUCACUGUCUGCGAGCGUCUGGGUGUGUGUGUGACGGAGGGUGAAAGAAGGAGCGAUACAGCGAAGGAAUGGAGCAACAGAGAGGAAACCCGAGAACGAGGAAGCUGGGGAAGGACACGGUGGCUCCAAGAGAGGCCCCCCGUCACUCAAACACGAGCAGCCAAACUUCUGGAAGAGUGAACAGCACCGCAACUGCACCCCAGAGUGAGGACCAUUUAUACCGCAUGGAAGGCGCUGAGGUCUCCCUCAAGGGACAUUCGGCUCUCCUCUGACAUGUCAUACCCACACUGCAGCUCCACAGAGAUGCGACCCGAAUCCUGGCAGCUAUGCAGCCUCAGCAUGAAGUAAAAUAUGUAACCUGAGUAUGAGUGAUAUUGUGAAAUGUUGGGCAUUCAUCAAAAAAGAUGGCAAAUUAUUUUUAAAAGCGUUUUGCUCCCAAGACGGACCUUGUGGGAAAUUCUGGUCUCGCCUCUUGCUCGAUAUGAGACACGGACACAUAAGGAGACGAGAAGGAGCUUAGCAGCCACCUGCAGCAGCACCCAUGGAGCCGGGGGUUAAGGGCCCACAGAUGUGACAAUACUGCCGAGGCCAAUCUGUAACUUUCUGAUCACAGAUACAGAGGCUUAAACCCACUGAGCCACAUGCUGCAUAUCUGGUAUUAAUUUGAAUUCUUAAAUGUCCAAAAAAAGUUGUCAUUUCAAUUAAGCGAAAACCUAACAGCCAAUGACUGGAUCAUUGCUCCUGCUCAGCAAUGUUGUGCUUCAAUAAAGCGAAUCAUUUGAGUACCUGAAUCUACUGAGUGGCCAGGUUAUCCCAUCAAUGGACUUUUUUUUCCUUCCCUGACAGCACAGAUAUAUUCCAGGAUGACAACGCCAAGAUUGUCAAAGAGUGGUUCAGGGAGUAUGAGGAAUCAUUUUCACACAUGAAUUGGCCUCCACACAGUGCUGACCUUAACCCCAUUGGAAGUCUUUGAGACGUGCUGGAGAGGACUUCACGGAGUGGUUCAACUCACCUGUCAUCGGUACAAGAUUUCAGUAAAAAAAAUGUAAGCAAAUAAGGAAGGAAACAAAAGCAGAAAUGCUCUAUAAGCACGUGUGUGCAUGAUGAAUGCACACAGUAGAUCAAAGCAAAAGGUGGACCAACAAAACUCGAAAGUGAUUUUUCAACUUUUAUUUGUAUAUGGUAAUUAUAAAAGAAUUUCUUCAGAAUCGAUAUUAAUAUAAAAUGGUUAUAAGACACUGAAAGCUAUGUAGGUAUUUUUUUAUGAAGCAUGACUCCGCAAUAGCAAUUUUCCAUAACAGAUAAUUAUUUUUUAUUUCAGAGCACACCUUGGGUGGAAUAGCGUCUAAGACCUCAACAAAGAAAUGUAAAAAAAAAAAAAAAACAAAAA